rnacentral:lncRNA from 1 species
CAGACGUAUGAGAAUCGCGCUCCGCAAAUUUCGAGUACCUGGUUGUCUAUCUCCUGGAUCCUACGUUCCGGGGCCACUUUCUAGUGAAACUUGACUUCCAGGGCAAGCGCUUCGUGGUUCCUGCGCUCGAAGUCCGCUACCUGGUGGACAAGGAUUUCUGCACGUAUUCGAAGUAUAACCCAAGGUGGUUAUCAGUGGUUGUUGGUGGUGGUUGAAGGUGGUUGGAGGUGGUCGUAGGUGGACGAGGAGGACGAGGAUUUGUGGUACAUCCCGAGGUGGUUGUCAGUGGCUGUUGGAGGUGGUUGACGGUGGUUGGAGGUGAUCGGAGGCAGACGAGGAGGAGGACGAACUGAACUGAGUCUCAAAGCCCUGUUGACAUAAAAGCAGCUAUUCGAU